rfam:Verticillium dahliae VdLs.17 supercont1.22 genomic scaffold, whole genome shotgun sequence.
GGACCGGUAGCUCAGGGGUAGAGCGUGCGAUUGCAGUAUUGCAACAUUAUCGCAAUGUCAGUGGUUCAAAUCCGCUUCGGUCCU